rnacentral:lncRNA from 1 species
CUAAUAUUAGCUUAAAUGAAAACAUUUAUGGGAAUGUACAAUUUUCUAUUCCCUUGCAACUGCCUAUAGAGGCAGAAAAGGCAAUUUCAAGAUCUCUGCUGAACUGAAGCUCUUGCUGCCCGACUGUUAGGCAGUUCACUAAUUCAUCUAAAUCACAUAUGCAGAAGGGUGAGUAAGCAAUAAACCAUUUCAAAUCAAUCCAGCUAUCAGUAGGUAAAAGAGCUAUAAUGAACAACAUGUUCACAGAGCACAUUUCCUACUCAGUCUAGUCAUUUGCAGGAUUCAGGCCACAGAUGUCACAGGUUGUCUGAGAAGCAUCAGAUGCAAGGCGAUGACUGCAUGUGGAAGGAGAAUUUGAGGAUAAUUUAUGAUGAUGGAUGCUUGCUAUCCAUGCUCACUUCAUUUGCUAUUCAAUCUGGCUUGCACUCAUGAGACUACUCUGCUUUCCCUCCUCCUUGUUGAUGGCCAUUUGCUCUGAAGUUUGUAGCUUCCAGGAAAUGGUGAAAAGGAUAGUUCUGAAUAGAGGAUUCACUCAGGUUGCUUAGUGCAACUUGAGAAGCGUGAGCAGCAAGAUGUUACGAUCACACAGCGCAGUGGUGAGCAUCUCUUCAGACUGAAGCGGAGUACUUUGGAGGCAGCAGCCCUGGUCUGGUCCUCUGUACGCUGGGCACUUCGCGUGGUCAAAGCCCUCCUCAAGCCAGGCCUUUUAAUACCUACUCAGCCACGCUUGCCGACCUCCAAGCGUUUUGAGCAGAAGUUUGCUCAAGAAUCUCUCUGUGUUUCUCUGGUUAUUUAUGUCAUAUGCAUGAGCAAAACUAUCACCUCUCUUCUGUGUUACCCACCCGAGGACUCGCACUACCCGCACCGAUGGGAGAUUUUAAUAUCUCUGUGGGGCGGACUGACAGAAGAAUCUGUCCUCUCUUUCUGAGUUAGGACCACAUCUGACAAUGUCUGACUCACAUGAGAAACUUACUCUGAGAUGUUUCUGUAAUGUAGAACAUCAUUGCUAUUUUCCUGCUUUCAAUGUUAUUAUUGAAUUAGGUUCUGCUGAUUUUAAAAAGUUUAGUUAAAUCUUUUAUUAAACCUGAAUGUAGACUGAUUUGAAAUUGAAUAAUUUGUCACUAUAAUUUCCAAGACACCUGUAAGACCCACAAAGCAGAUAUAUUCUAUAUUUCUAUAUUCUGUAAGAAGAAGAUAACUAGGGUGAUGCUCAAUUUUUAUUUUGUACUCAUGCAUACACCAUCACUUUGUAUUUACUAUGGGCCUUUAUGAACAGACAGUUACUCCCUUUCUUCUAUGGACCA